rnacentral:lncRNA from 1 species
AUGAGUAGAAGUAGCCCCCAAACACUACCUUAUUGGAGAGAAAAGAGAAAUCCAAAGAGAAAGAGAGAGCAAAGAAAAGUUAAUAAGCUCCCUGAGUGCAGCACCUAUUCAAUUAUUCAAUAUAUCUUAUUCAUCUGUAUUUUCUCAGAGCACCUAGGAAACAGGAGAUUCUUGGUGAUUAUUAUAAAACAGAAUCAGAAUGAUUAUGCAACCAUAGAGAAAAAUUCAAGAAAACCUUGGAAAUACAGGAGGUUUCUGUGUUUCCCUUGGAGCUUGACUUUGGACUUGAUCAACUAUCUGAGGGGAGUGCAGUCAAAAGAACAUCACAAUUUAGAAUCUCUAAAGGCGAAGAGUCAAGGCUCACUGAUUCUUGAACCUACAAUGGAAAAACAGCAUAUUCCUUGCUUUUUCAUCCAGAAAAAAAAUGUCUUCAAGGGGAUAAAGAGAGAGAGAAUCUAUAAUGUGCAUGGUGCAAACAGGAACAGAUCCAUACGCAUUUUGUAUGUAAUGCUUGUAAUAUACCACCUGAAGAGAGCAUGAUGAUAAUAAUUACAAAGAAGAAGAAAGCAAUGUAAUAUAGUACAGUAAGAUAAAACUUUUUCAGUGCCAGAUUUCUCACUUCUCUUCUCUGAAACUCAACACUUACAAUGCUCAAUAAAACUCAGAAGAUUACUCA